rnacentral:rRNA from 1 species
UCGGCAAUGGGGGAAACCCUGACCGAGCAACGCCGCGUGAAUGAUGACGGCCUUCGGGUUGUAAAAUUCUGUGGCGAGGAACGAAUGGCAAGGAGAGGAAAUGCUCUUUGUUUGACGGUACCUCGCUAGAAAGCCACGGCUAACUACGUGCCAGCAGCCGCGGUAAUACGUAGGUGGCAAGCGUUAUCCGGAAUUAUUGGGCGUAAAGAGUGAGCAGGCGGUUUUUUAAGUCUGAAGUCAAAUCCUGUGGCUCAACCACAGUUCGCUUUGGAAACUGAAGAACUAGAGUGCGGGAGAGGUAAGCGGAAUUCCAUAUGUAGCGGUGAAAUGCACAGAUAUAUGGAGGAACACCGGUGGCGAAGGCGGCUUACCAGCCCGAUACUGACGCUCAGUCACGAAAGCGUGGGGAGCAAAUAGGCUUAGAUACCCUAGUAGUCCACGCCGUAAACGUUGAGGACCUGAUGCCGGAGUAUUUCGGUGUCGUAGCUAACGCGUUAAGUCCUCCGCCUGGGUACUACGUUCGCAAGAAUAAAACUUAAAGGAAUUGACGGGGGCCCGCACAAGCAGUGGAGCAUGUGGUUUAAUUCGUCGCUACGCGAAAAACCUUACCAGGGUUUGACAUCCCGCUAAAAGUCUUGGAAACAAGAUCAUAGUUAUAGCGGUGAAAGGUGGUGCAUGGUUGUCGUCAGCUCGUGUCGUGAGAUGUUGGGUUAAGUCCCCUAACGAGCGCAACCCUUGUCUCUAUUUGCCAUCAUUAAGUUGGGAACUAUAGAGAGACUGCCGGUGCAAACCGGAGGAAGAUGGGGAUGACGUCAAAUCAUCAUGCCCCUUAUGCCCUGGGCCACACACGUGCUACAAUGGCCGGUACAGAGAGAAGCAAUCCCGUGAGGAGGAGCAAAUCUCACAAAGCCGGUCUCAGUUCGGAUUGGAGUCUGCAACUCGACUCCAUGAAGCUGGAAUUGCUAGUAAUCGCAGAUCAGCAUGCUGCGGUGAAUACGUUCCCGGGCCUUGUACACACCGCCCGUCACACCAUGAGAGUCGGCAAUACUCGAAGUCGUUAUCUUAACCUGCAAGGGAGGGAGGCGCCUAAGGUAGGGCUGAUGAUUGGGGUUAAGUCGUAACAAGGUAUCCCUACGGGAACGUGGGGAUG